rnacentral:rRNA from 1 species
GACGUAGGGCGCGAGCGUUGUCCGGAUUUAUUGGGCGUAAAGAGCUCGUAGGCGGCUUGUCGCGUCGAAUGUGAAAUCCUGCGGCUCAACUGCAGGCUUGCAUUCGAUACGGGCAGGCUCGAGUUCGGUAGGGGAGACUGGAAUUCCUGGUGUAGCGGUGAAAUGCGCAGAUAUCAGGAGGAACACCGAUGGCGAAGGCAGGUCUCUGGGCCACUACUGACGCUGAGAAGCGAAAGCAUGGGGAGCGAACAGG